UUUUUCCACCGGAGCUUGCUCCACCGGAAAAAGAAGAGUGGCGAACGGGUGAGUAACACGUGGGUAACCUGCCCAUCAGAAGGGGAUAACACUUGGAAACAGGUGCUAAUACCGUAUAACAAUCGAAACCGCAUGGUUUUGAUUUGAAAGGCGCUUUCGGGUGUCGCUGAUGGAUGGACCCGCGGUGCAUUAGCUAGUUGGUGAGGUAACGGCUCACCAAGGCCACGAUGCAUAGCCGACCUGAGAGGGUGAUCGGCCACAUUGGGACUGAGACACGGCCCAAACUCCUACGGGAGGCAGCAGUAGGGAAUCUUCGGCAAUGGACGAAAGUCUGACCGAGCAACGCCGCGUGAGUGAAGAAGGUUUUCGGAUCGUAAAACUCUGUUGUUAGAGAAGAACAAGGAUGAGAGUAACUGUUCAUCCCUUGACGGUAUCUAACCAGAAAGCCACGGCUAACUACGUGCCAGCAGCCGCGGUAAUACGUAGGUGGCAAGCGUUGUCCGGAUUUAUUGGGCGUAAAGCGAGCGCAGGCGGUUUCUUAAGUCUGAUGUGAAAGCCCCCGGCUCAACCGGGGAGGGUCAUUGGAAACUGGGAGACUUGAGUGCAGAAGAGGAGAGUGGAAUUCCAUGUGUAGCGGUGAAAUGCGUAGAUAUAUGGAGGAACACCAGUGGCGAAGGCGGCUCUCUGGUCUGUAACUGACGCUGAGGCUCGAAAGCGUGGGGAGCAAACAGGAUUAGAUACCCUGGUAGUCCACGCCGUAAACGAUGAGUGCUAAGUGUUGGAGGGUUUCCGCCCUUCAGUGCUGCAGCUAACGCAUUAAGCACUCCGCCUGGGGAGUACGACCGCAAGGUUGAAACUCAAAGGAAUUGACGGGGGCCCGCACAAGCGGUGGAGCAUGUGGUUUAAUUCGAAGCAACGCGAAGAACCUUACCAGGUCUUGACAUCCUUUGACCACUCUAGAGAUAGAGCUUCCCCUUCGGGGGCAAAGUGACAGGUGGUGCAUGGUUGUCGUCAGCUCGUGUCGUGAGAUGUUGGGUUAAGUCCCGCAACGAGCGCAACCCUUAUUGUUAGUUGCCAUCAUUCAGUUGGGCACUCUAGCAAGACUGCCGGUGACAAACCGGAGGAAGGUGGGGAUGACGUCAAAUCAUCAUGCCCCUUAUGACCUGGGCUACACACGUGCUACAAUGGGAAGUACAACGAGUCGCGAAGUCGCGAGGCUAAGCUAAUCUCUUAAAGCUUCUCUCAGUUCGGAUUGUAGGCUGCAACUCGCCUACAUGAAGCCGGAAUCGCUAGUAAUCGCGGAUCAGCACGCCGCGGUGAAUACGUUCCCGGGCCUUGUACACACCGCCCGUCACACCACGAGAGUUUGUAACACCCGAAGUCGGUGAGGUAACCUUGCGGAGCGUUGCCGCCUAAGGUGGGAUAGAUCAC
rnacentral:rRNA from 1 species